rnacentral:misc_RNA from 1 species
UUUCCGUAGGUGAACCUGCGGAAGGAUCAUUAAUGAGUUGUCAUGGGGCUCGAUGCUGGCAGCCAGUUUUUGGACGCAUGUGCUUGCCCUAACAAUCAUCUUCUUCCAAACACCUGUGCACAUUUUUGAGGGAGUCUUGAGUUGGUUGCCGCUCUUGGGUGAUUUUCUCACAUUCCCUUAAAUCAUUAUACGCUAUUAACAAUGUUGAACGUGCUCUGUGCCGCAAGGCUAUUAAUAUAAUACAACUUUUAACAACGGAUCUCUUGGCUCUC